rnacentral:misc_RNA from 1 species
ACACCCUCAAGCUCUGCUUGGUGUUGGGCGUCUGUCCCGCCUUUGUGCGCGGACUCGCCUCAAAGCGAUUGGCGGCUGGUACCACGGCCUGGAGUGCAGCAGAAUUGCGCUCCUCGUCCGGCGGUCUGGCUCCCAGAAGCGAACUUUUAUUAUUU